AUUCAGUCUCUCCUAAGAGACACUUCACAUAAAAAAAAAAAAAAAGG
rfam:Tinamus guttatus contig17309, whole genome shotgun sequence.